rnacentral:rRNA from 1 species
UACGUAGGGGGCAAGCGUUGUCCGGAUUUAUUGGGCGUAAAGAGCGUGUAGGCGGCCAUGCAGGUCCGUUGUGAAAACUCGAGCUCAACCUCGAGACGCCGAUGGAAACCGCAUGGCUAGAGUCCGGAAGAGGAGAGUGGAAUUCCUGGUGUAGCGGUGAAAUGCGCAGAUAUCAGGAAGAACACCCGUGGCUAAGGCAGAUCUCUGGGCCGUAACUGACGCUGAGGAGCGAAAGCAUGGGGAGCGAACAGG